rnacentral:rRNA from 1 species
AUACUGCUAGUCUUGAGUUCGAGAGAGGUGAGUGGAAUUCCGAGUGUAGAGGUGAAAUUCGUAGAUAUUCGGAGGAACACCAGUGGCGAAGGCGGCUCACUGGCUCGAUACUGACGCUGAGGUGCGAAAGUGUGGGGAGCAAACAGGAUUAGAUACCCUGGUAGUCCACACCGUAAACGAUGAAUGCCAGACGUCGGGCAGUAUACUGUUCGGUGUCACACCUAACGGAUUAAGCAUUCCGCCUGGGGAGUACGGUCGCAAGAUUAAAACUCAAAUGAA